rnacentral:rRNA from 3 species
AACUUUCAACAACGGAUCUCUUGGUUCUGGCAUCGAUGAAGAACGCAGCGAAAUGCGAUAAGUAGUGUGAAUUGCAGAAUUCAGUGAAUCAUCGAAUCUUUGAACGCACAUUGCGCCCCUUGGUAUUCCAUGGGGCAUGCCUGUUCGAGCGUCAU